GGGGGAUAUUGCACAAUGGAGGAAACUCUGAUGCAGCAACGCCGCGUGAGGGAAGAAGGUCUUCGGGUUGUAAAGCACUUUCAGCGGGGAGGAAGGCGAUAAGGUUAAUAACCUUGUCGAUUGACGUUACCCGCAGAAGAAGCACCGGCUAACUCCGUGCCAGCAGCCGCGGUAAUACGGAGGGUGCAAGCGUUAAUCGGAAUUACUGGGCGUAAAGCGCACGCAGGCGGUCUGUCAAGUCGGAUGUGAAAUCCCCGGGCUCAACCUGGGAACUGCAUUCGAAACUGGCAGGCUAGAGUCUUGUAGAGGGGGGUAGAAUUCCAGGUGUAGCGGUGAAAUGCGUAGAGAUCUGGAGGAAUACCGGUGGCGAAGGCGGCCCCCUGGACAAAGACUGACGCUCAGGUGCGAAAGCGUGGGGAGCAAAC
rnacentral:rRNA from 1 species